AACGGGGCUUCGGCCCCGGGAUCAGUGGCGAACGGGUGCGUAACACGUGGGCAACCUGCCCCUCACUCUGGGAUAACCCCGGGAAACCGGAGCUAAUACCGGAUACUCCGCUCCCACCGCAUGGCGGGAUCGGGAAAGGUCCGCCGGUGAGGGAUGGGCCCGCGGCCUAUCAGCUUGUUGGUGGGGUAACGGCCCACCAAGGCGACGACGGGUAGCUGGUCUGAGAGGACGACCAGCCACACUGGGACUGAGAUACGGCCCAGACUCCUACGGGAGGCAGCAGUGGGGAAUCUUGCACAAUGGGCGAAAGCCUGAUGCAGCGACGCCGCGUGAGGGAUGAAGGCCCUCGGGUUGUAAACCUCUUUCGGCAGGGACGAAGCGAUCGUGACGGUACCUGCAGAAGAAGCCUCGGCUAACUACGUGCCAGCAGCCGCGGUAAGACGUAGGAGGCGAGCGUUGUCCGGAUUCAUUGGGCGUAAAGAGCGCGCAGGCGGCUUGGUAAGUCGGAUGUGAAAACCCGAGGCUCAACCUCGGACGUGCAUCCGAAACUGCCCGGCUAGAGGUAGGUAGGGGAGAUCGGAAUUCCUGGUGUAGCGGUGAAAUGCGCAGAUAUCAGGAGGAACACCGGUGGCGAAGGCGGAUCUCUGGGCCUUACCUGACGCUCAGGCGCGAAAGCUAGGGGAGCGAACUGGAUUAGAUACCCAGGUAGUCCUAGCUGUAAACGUUGGGUGCUAGGUGUGGGCGGAUAUCGACCCCGUCCGUGCCGAAGCUAACGCAUUAAGCACCCCGCCUGGGGAGUACGGCCGCAAGGCUAAAACUC
rnacentral:rRNA from 1 species